rnacentral:rRNA from 1 species
GACGAACGCUGGCGGCGUGCCUAACACAUGCAAGUCGAGCGAAGAAUUGGGAGCUUGCUCUUGAUUCUUAGCGGCGGACGGGUGAGUAACGCGUGAGCAACCUGCCUCGAACUGGGGGAUAACGCAUCGAAAGAUGUGCUAAUACCGCGUAAGACCACAGUACCACAUGGUACAGGGGUCAAAGGAGCAAUCCGGUUUGAGAUGGGCUCGCGUCCGAUUAGCUAGUUGGCGGGAUAACAGCCCACCAAGGCGACGAUCGGUAGCCGACCUGAGAGGGUGAUCGGCCACAUUGGAACUGAGACACGGUCCAG